GUUGAAACACUGGUUCCCGUAUGAUCACCGAAGUUAAGCAACGUCGACCCAGAUCAGUACCUAGAUGGGUGACCGCUUAAGAAGGCAAACUACUGC